GGAAUAUUGGACAAUGGGCGAAAGCCUGAUCCAGCAAUGCCGCGUGUGUGAAGAAGGCCUUCGGGUUGUAAAGCACUUUUGUUCGGGAAGAAAUCCGUGUGGUUAAUACCCGCGCGGGAUGACGGUACCGAAAGACUAAGCACCGGCUAACUUCGUGCCCGCAGCCGCGGUAAUACGAAGGGUGCAAACGUUAAUCGGAAUUACUGGGCGUAAAGCGUGCGUAGGCGGUUUGUUAAGUCAGAUGUGAAAGCCCCGGGCUCAACCUGGGAACUGCAUUUGAUACUGGCAGGCUAGAGUACGGUAGAGGGUGGUGGAAUUCCCGGUGUAGCGGUGAAAUGCGUAGAGAUCGGGAGGAACAUCCGUGGCGAAGGCGGCCACCUGGACCAGUACUGACGCUGAGGCACGAAAGCGUGGGGAGCAAAC
rnacentral:rRNA from 1 species